rnacentral:lncRNA from 1 species
AUAAAAUAAAAAUACUUAACAUGAAAUAUUAGUUCAUAAAAUACAAUAACAUGGGAAUGUUGGGAAUGUAUAUAUAUAUAUCACAUAACAACAGAAAAUAAGUAACUGGCAACAUGCAGGAAAUAAUGACAUAACAAAUGACGCAAAAGGAGGAGGAGGAACUAAAACUAGACAAGGGUUGAUGUUUUCACAUCUGCACAGUAAGGAAAUACUUGUGGCUGUAACAUGAUGAUAAAUCUCCAUACCGCCAUAUGGACCCUGAUGUCUUUGAUUCUGUCGGGCACUCUUGCUGCUAACUGGACAGUGCGUGUUCCUAAGGAUCCAGUUUAUGCUCCUUCUGGUUCUUCUGUAGUUUUGGAGUGCACCUAUGACUACCCUGAAGAGUCUGACCAGGGAAAACUGCACAAAGUACAGACAGAGAUGUGGUGUCUGAACGAAAGCCGCUGCAUUACUCCCAAAUACGUGUACCACAGUGCAGGGAUAUUCCCUGAGCCCUCAUACCAGGGCCGAGUCAAGUACUUGGGGCAGACAGGGAGCAAAAACUGCUCUCUGAUGUUAUCUGAUCUGAGGUCAGAAGACAGCGGCAUGUACGUGUUCCGGUUCAUCACCGACCAUCUGAAGGCCAAGCUACCAGGACAGAGAGGAGUGAAUCUACAGGUCACACAUCGGAUAGAAACAAGAAGUGCAUCUUCAUCCACUCCUGGCAUUGUGCUUGGAGUAAUUAUCAUGCUUAUAAUAAUAGCAGUCAUUGUGGUACUCAUCAGACGCAAGUCACGGGCAGAGAGUUUAAUUUAA